rnacentral:misc_RNA from 1 species
GCAAACUUGGUCAUUUAGAGGAAGUAAAAGUCGUAACAAGGUUUCCGUAGGUGAACCUGCGGAAGGAUCAUUAGUAAAGUAGUGGGUUAUCCUAUUUAAUAUAUAUAUGGAUAACAUAUUCGGUAAAUCAUUCUAUUGUGCAUACAUUGAAUGUAUGAGCUUUGAUAGAAAGAUAAGGGAAAAAAAAAGUUGGUUUUUUUUUUGAUCUUGUUGAUCUAUCAAAGGAUUUCAUUGAUCUUCAUAAUUUUUGGUAUUAAAAUUAUUUGAAAGCAUACAAAGAAAAAUUUUAUACAACUUUCAACAACGGAUCUCUUGGCUCUCGCAUCGAUGAAGAACGCAGC